GUUCUUGUAGUUGAAUUACAACGGUGGUUUUUCAAGUCAUUAAUCCUGGUUAAAAUCCUGGCAAGAAUU
rnacentral:tRNA from 1 species